rnacentral:lncRNA from 1 species
GAAAUAUGGCUAGAAAUGCAUCUUCUGUUCAGUUUGGGAAAAGAAAUAUUCUUUUAGAGUUUUCAACCAAAUGGCAUAAUAUAUCUCGACAUUUAACUUCUGUUUGAUUUUGAAACUCUUAUAUGUUUUCCUUACAGGCAUUUUGGAAGAGUGUGUAUCCUGCUAUGAGAUUCAACUGCAUCAGCUGCCUGGGUGAGGCUAAGAGAAGGCAGGGAGUUGGAUGUUACCAGGAGCGGAGGUAUUUCCAGGUUGGACGAGGAGAGAAGGAGAGGCUGGCAGGAACUCUUUUUCUGGAUCAGGUUGUCUGUAGCCCCAAGACUGAGUGCACACGUUUCCAUCAAGCCAGGCAGAAGGGCCACCAGGUGACCGCAGCAGCCAACCCCAAGGGGUCUCUGGCAGAGCUUUGGGCUUCUCUGCAGAUGUCGAGGUUGGAUUUAUUCUUCCUGCCCUCCUACCGAGCAUGUCUUGGGGAUUAGUGGGAAACUGACUGUAAAGAUCUUUUGCUUCCUUUUUGCAUAUAGCUAUGUAAUCUGACUUCAGGUGAAAAUUUAUGUCUAAGUGGUAAAUGUUUUUGAGAACCCAGUGAGGAUUGUGAAUCCCUUUGCCAGUUUCAUGAUGGAGGGAGUUAACAUGGAUCAUAAAAGGGCUGAAAGAGUGUCUGAGGUUACCUCUACCUUGUAUCACCAUACGAAGUAGCCAACAACUCCAUGAGAUAAGUUUUUCUCCAGCAGCAUCAUUGGAGCUUGCAGCACAAGUUGGAAAAGAUGGGGAAAACCCACUUUUCUCUUAUAUGAAAAUGACUUCUCCCAAUCCUGUUUUGUCUCAGCAUACAAUAUAUAUGGUUGUUAAUUUACUACCCACAGCAUCAUGGACUCAUCCUCUUCCCUGAAUCGCUUGUAAAUAUUUUCUCAAACUGAGUGUAUUUUCCAAUGUUUAUCCAGGUAUCUGCAUAUCCAACUCUUCAUUGUCCCUGGUGCAGGUUAACCAUGCUCUGCAGGGUACCUCUUUAUCCCCUCAGCCUGUCCCAGGCCUCCUGCCAGUGUCCACAGUGCUGUGCGUUGGGUGUCUAAUUCCACCUCCCCCUGAGAGGUAGGUGGCCAGCCACCCCUAGGAGAAGCUGACACCAAGGGUGGCCAUAUGGGGGGAAGGAAGAGGUUGGUGCUGGUUACCUCCCACCUUGGACUAUGUUCAUUUCUCUUUUCCUUACUGCAGGUCACUGACAUGUGAACACAUGCUCCUAACAAGUUGACCCCAGUCUUGCUGAAAUUGCCUAGACUGUAUUAUUUUCUUCCCCAUACUUGACAUAGAGCAUAAGCUGAGAGGUACAUAAUACAUGCCAUAAUUUAUGACGGUGCUUAGGUAAAGCCAUGCAAACUCGUCUAUCAUUGCCAGGUUCAUUUCCAGUGGUGUUCAUUGAAGGUAAGUUGACUCAUUUAUACAAAACAAUUCCCUCAUUUCCCUUUGAGCAAUUGUCAAGUGUGCUUGACGCAGGCCAAGUGACCUUCAAAUGCGGAGUGGGGUUUGGCCUGGAAUGUCAGUGUGCAUUUGGCAGCAUGAAUUGCUCCAAAGAAUCCUGAUUUCUUAUGCAUGAACUGCUGACCCCAGCACUGGGGCCUGGAGAGCGGGACGGGAAGGAAGGUGAACUCCUGCUGAUUCAGGGGCCCUCCCAGCAGCCUUUCCACGGUGUCAGCAGUAUUCACAUCACUUUCCUCUCCUCCCUCUUCCGCCCCACCGUAAGUCCUGUCCCUGGAAGCACUUUUCAGUUGCCAGGAAUCAUGAACAUUAGGAAACAAUCCAAAAAAACGGGGUGUCUACUUUAUAUUCUGUGGCCCACACGGUCACACAUGGGCCUGGUUUUAACACCGGGUCAUAGGUGUGGAAACAGCCUGGCCUAGAGGAAGGAACACUGAACCAGUGAGAGAGGCCUUCAGUGACUCCAGGACCAAGCAAGUGUGUGGCCUGGAGGCUGGCCUUUCUAAGAGGCCUGUCUCGGUGGAAACGGAGGAAUGUUCUACUGCUGGCUUUCCAGAGCGCUCCUCUAGCCCCACUACUUGGAGCGAUGCUUCCCGGUGUUGAAGCUGCAGAUCUAAGGACCAUGUUUCUUCAAACACAACCAGGCCUCUAGGGCAAGAUCGUUUCCAGGAGAUGUAAUGAAAUAUGAAGGAAAACGCCCAGCAGGCAACAUGCCUGCCUGCUGAGGAUCACAGGAAACAGCCUUACUACCAAUCUACCAAUACUGGGCCCUGAGCUGGAGAAACAGCUCCUUUUUUCAUUUCAAAAUAUCACUAAUGUUCCAUGGUGCAGGACAUAUUUCAAAUGCCUCAAUUGGAAAAAACAGGCUCCAAAGGCAUCACGGUGUGCCUGUGGCUCUUGUCUGUGCUAGGCAGCAGCACAAGGGCCUGCUCAUUAGCUCACUGAUGACAGGUUUAUCCGCAACUGUAUAUCAAGCAAUGAGAAAGUCAGCUGUGCGAGCAAACGUCCCUCAGUCAUAUUGCACAAAGCCUUCGUAAAGGGAUAGAGUGCUGAAAGCCUCCUAACUCCUCUCUAGCUGAACAUCUUUUCCCCUCCGCUACCUCUGAACCUCUCAUCCUUCCAACUCAGCUCAAGAACGCAGAAGCUGUUUGCCGACCCCUUCUGCUAGUGUCCUGUCCUUGGUAAUUCAAAGACGCCCCCGGGAUGGCCCACAAAGAGCCCUGUGUGCAUGCACACGCGCCACUGUCACUGAUAAGGCCACUGGGUGGUGAGCGGUUCUUUUCACACUUCACAUCCAGAGGCUUUUCCUGUGAUUUGUGUGUGAAGCACCUGUUUGCAUGGUCCGUCCACCCUUAUCUGAGAUUCUGCCUCUUAGGCACCAGGGCAGGUUGAAGCCUUUUUCACCCACUUACAAAGCAACAGCUUAUUCCUGAGAAGUGUGUCAAGCUGGUAUGUCCACUGUGCUCCCCAGACUCACCAAUAAGAUCACUGACUUAAUUGUUUUCUGCCCCUUACUUUUAGAAGAAAGAAGUUAGGCAAUCUAAAGGAGUCAAACUGAUAAUGUUGCUUUUGAAAAAAAGUAAACAAAUAAUAAAACAUCUCCCAGAGUGUAUGGGGUCCAAAACACAUUUAACCCAGUUUCUCACACUUUCCAUAUGAACAUUUACUCAAUAAUCCUACGUGAUGUUUAGAAUGAAUAAUUACUGUGGGGCCCCUCAUCAAACAUCAGAAAGAGACCAAUAGGUUCGAUAUUUUGCCGUAAAGCAGGAAAUUGAACUAAGUAUCAAGAAAUAAAUACCAACAGAGAGAAUAACAAAGGAAGGAAGGAGGGAUUAAUUGUCAUUGUUAGAGAAAAACUCAUUUUCUGAUGAUGAUGGUCAAGACCUUAUCUUAUAAUCCUCCUAACUAUAGCCUCCUUUUCUUUGCAUUGGGUACCCAACAUCCAUUAUGACUGUUGUCUCCAGAAGCCCAGAGACAUUCAUCUUUUUGCUCUCCUUUCACUGAUGAGGAGACUGGACGUCACGUGAUAAUUCAGCUGCCCAGUCUUAUGGCAAGCGAGAGAGACCUAUUUUGAACUGAGGCAUGCUGGACUUCAAAGUCCAUGUUCUUGCUCUUAGAGCAAGUCUCUAAAACAAGAUUUUCACUAAUUCUUAACAAUUUAUUGAGUUCAGCAGUUACUGAGCAUCUAUCAUGUCUUGGCAGUGAUAGGGAAUACAGAUAUAAAAAAGUUACAGCCCUACCUUCACUUGAGCCAAAAAUAUUUUUCUUUAGGGAAUCUUUAGAACAAACACUUUCAGAAAAUUUUUCUAAUUGAGCUUGAGAUGUUGACUUGACUCUCAUUUUUAAAACUAACUAAUUGGCUAUCAAAAUGGCAACACUUACAAGAUAAUGCUUUCUGUAUUUCUUCAUGCAUUUAACUCCCUAACUAAUGAAAAACUUCAUGAUAUUUUCUCCCAAAGGAGGGGAUAGAAGUGUCUUUUCUUCUCACACUGUGAAGACAAGUAAACGUAAUUUAGUUUCAAUACAGUUAUAUUAGCUUUAGAUAAUAAUGAGCUAUUGCCAUAUAUCAGACCACAAAAAAAGAACCAAAACUAAACAUUAAUACAAGGUAUGUUUUUAUUUCUAUUAUACUUUAAGUUCUGGGAUACAUGUGCAGAAUUUGCAGGUUUGUUACAUAAGUAUACACGUGCCAUGGUGGUUUGCUGCACCCAUCAACCCAUCAUCUACAUUAGGUAUUUCUCCUAAUGCUAUUCCUCCCCUAGCCCUCCACCCCCCAACAGGCCCCAGUGUGCGAUGUUCCCCUCCCUGUGUCCAUGUGUUCUCAUUGUUCAAUGUGUAACAGAGUUGGAGUAUGGCUUCUAAAAAUCAUAAUUUCAUAUGCAUAAUGGCAAUUGCUAGACAAGAAUUCUGUAACUAGAGCUAGUUACAUGAGCAAAAACUGCCUCAUAGUUCAGGUUGCAAAGUGGGCAGCCAUUAUAGCCCAGAAGACACUCCCAGAAGAAAUUGGUGAGCUAACUUUGUAUAUUUAUGAACAUUUUUGGUAUUUUCAGUCUUUCCGAAGCACCUGGUGAUGGCCAGUGUGGAAGACUAGGUGGAGCAUGACAAGAUCAUUGUCUGUAAGCACUCACUGUGCUGUUUCUAGAAGACGCUUCUGUAGGUGAAUAAAGAGCCAGACUUCUCAAGACCUGUCUUCACCUGCUGUCUCCACCUCCUGUUCACCACUCAACCCAUUCCAUGUGGCUGUUGCCCUCAUCAUCCUAUUAAAACCAGCUGCAAUAAUCUCCAUGUACCCCAGUUGGCUGAGCUGAUCCUUAGGAGACGAGGAGGCACAAUCACAGCUCACGUCCUCAGCUUCUCUCUGCCUCCUGCCCGCCCAUUCUCUCCCUCUUCACCUUUAUCCAGUUGUCCUUCUUCAAACCCACUUUGGGGGUUUUCUUUUCCAUCCUCUGGUGGCCCUGAUGUUUGCUUGCUAGUUAAGUGAUUUAUACAUUCCAGGCUGGAUCCAAGACAGUGUGGAAUGAAAACCAAAUGCAAAUUGGCUAGAAGGAAGGGCCAGAAUAAACACAAACUGAAGACCCCAAACCAACGGUGUCCAAGCUUGUGCAUGUAUCUGCGCUGUCCCCAUGGGGCCUUCCAACUCUGCUCAAAGCAAUCUCCAGGGCUGUUCUCCAAGGACAAUGGAUCCGAAUUCCAGUGAAAUAGCUGAUGCCAACCAGUUUGAAGACUCCCAUAAUGCAGUGGAAUCAGCAUGAGAAUACAGUUUCUUCAUCUCCCUGUCCCAUGACUUCACCCUGCGCUCUGACCAAUCAGUGACCUCCACACUUUGGCCCACCCCAAAACUCUAAAAAAUCCUAGCUCCAAACUCCUCAGGGAAAUGGAUUUAAGGUUUCCUCCUGUCCCUUCAUUCAGCAGCCUUAUGAUUAAACCUCUUUCUCUGUUGCAACCUGAUGUCUCAGUGUAUUGACUUGCUGUGUGCAUCGAGCAACAGAACUAUUAAGGUGACAUCUGGCUGCUGUAUAGAUGGAUUAUUUCAUUAGUAGCACUGAGGUGGGUAGGGAUUGGGAAGGCUGAAGGGUGCCCAGAAAGAGACACCUUGAAUAGGGAAGUGCUUUCCUAAAGCCAGUGGGGUUCAGAACAUAUUACCCCAAAGCAUGCCAACUUCAGAGCAAAAAGGGCUUUCUGACCUUCCACUGCCCUUCUUUCCUGAAGCAGGUCAUAAAAUCUAGGAAGAAUUUCCUGACCCUCCCCUGAGGCAGGUCAUAUGGCACCCAAGUAAGAGGUGCCCACCCAGAGGAAAGGAGCAUUCUCAUCUCUGAGGAUGUUAGGGACACAGAGAAGAAUCUGAACAAAUACAUAUUGCAAAGUGAUAUGGUUUGGCUGUGUCGCUACCCAAAUCUCAUCUUGAAUUGUAGCUCCCAUAAUUCCCAUGUGUUGUGGGAGGGACCUAGUGGGAGGUAAUUGAAUCAUGGGGGCAGUUUCCCCCAUACUGUUCUUGUGGUA